rnacentral:rRNA from 1 species
UAAUAAACCGGAGGAAGGUGGGGAUGACGUCAAAUCAUCAUGCCCCUUAUGACCUGGGCUACACACGUGCUACAAUGGUUGGUACAACGAGUUGCGAGUCGGUGACGGCGAGCUAAUCUCUUAAAGCCAAUCUCAGUUCGGAUUGUAGGCUGCAACUCGCCUGCAUGAAGCCGGAAUCGCUAGUAAUCGCGGAUCAGCAUGCCCGCGGUCCGAAUACGUUCCGGGCCUU